rnacentral:rRNA from 1 species
GACGUAGGGCGCGAGCGUUGUCCGGAUUUAUUGGGCGUAAAGCGCGCGUAGGCGGACCUGCAAGUCGGGGGUGAAAGCCCGAGGCUCAACCUCGGAACUGCCUUCGAUACUGCGGGUCUCGAGUCCGGGAGAGGUGAGUGGAAUUCCUAGUGUAGAGGUGAAAUUCGUAGAUAUUAGGAAGAACACCAGUGGCGAAGGCGGCUUGCCAGAACGCGCUCGACGGUGAGGGAUGAAAGCUGGGGGAGCAAACCGG